UAGAGCGGCGGACGGGUGAGUAACACGUGGACAAUCUGGCCCCCGGCCCGGGAUAGACCCAGGGAAACCUGGAUUAAUACCGGAUGAGACGGGACCCGCGAUGGCGGGAUCCGGGAAAGGCGCUGCGGCGCCGCCGGGGGAUGAGUCUGCGUCCCAUUAGCUAGACGGCGGGGUAACGGCCCACCGUGGCGACGAUGGGUAGCCGGCCUGAGAGGGUGGACGGCCACAUUGGAACUGAGACACGGUCCAGACUCCUACGGGAGGCAGCAGCUAAGAAUCUUCCGCAAUGGGCGAAAGCCUGACGGAGCCGACGCCGCGUGAACGAAGAAGGCCGUGAGGUUGUAAAGUUCUUUUCGGGAGGGGGUAACAACCGUGGCAGGGAAUGGCCGCGGGGAUGACGUGAAAUCCCGGAAUAAGCCCCGGCUAACUACGUGCCAGCAGCCGC
rnacentral:rRNA from 1 species